CCCAGAAAUAGGAAGAUAACUUCAAAUUGUGACAAGUGCUGUGGCUGUAAAACCCAGGUUAAAAUGAAAGAGUAAUAGGUCUGUUUGGAUUUGGAAAAGAGGGGUCAAGGAAGCCUCUCCAAAAGUGUGGCAUUUUAACAGAGCCUGAGGAAUGAGUUGUGUCGGGGUGAGGGAGGGAUCUGUGCAAAGAAAACAGCAUGUGCCAAGGUCCUGAGGCAGGAAGCCAUGUGAUGAACCCAAAGUAAGAUCAGGAUGGUCUUCAGUGAGGCUGAGAGGAUUCUGUUUAAAGGGUGUACACUGUGAAUCACAGUUUCAAAGGAAGACGGCAAAUAUGAACCUCAGCCAAGCAAUUUGUGAAGCUGGAUUGCUGACAGAAAUCCAGGAAGCAGCAGAAAAACAACAAACAAAAGAAGAGCUCAGGGGCUGCGUGUAACCUGGAGGAACACAGUAGGAUGAGCCCCAGGAUGAAACGGGUGAUGUGAGGGAGCAGAGGUCUGAUGAGGCAGCCUUGUCUUGAAAAGCUGAGAAGCCCAGCCUCGGGGACAGAGUGAGACUCUGUCUCCACAAAAAAUUUCUUUUUUUUUUUUUUUUUUUUUUUUAAGACAGAGUCUUGCUCUGUCGCCCAGGCUGGAGUGCAGUAACGCAGUCUCAGCUCACUGCAACCUCUGCCUCCCAGGUUUAAGGGAUUCUCGUGCCUCAGCCUCCCAAGUAACUGGGAUUACAGGUGCCCACCACCACGCCCAGCUAAUAUAUGUUAUUUUAGUAGAG
rnacentral:lncRNA from 10 species